GAUGAACGCUGGCGGCGUGCCUAAUACAUGCAAGUCGAGCGAACAGAUGAGGCGCUUGCUCCUCUGACGUUAGCGGCGGACGGGUGAGUAACACGUGUAUAACCUACCUAUAAGACUGGGAUAACUUCGGGACACCGGAGCUAAUACCGGAUAAUCUCUUGAACCGUAUUGUUCAAUAGUGAAAGACGGUUUUGCUGUCACUUCUAGCGGCAUCCGGGCCGCAUUAGAUAGUUGGUACGGUAACGGCCUACCACGGCAACGAUGCGUAGCCGACCUGACAGAGUGGUCGCCCACCUGGGAGGUGAGACAGAGACGCGACGCCUGGGGUAGGCAGCAGUAGGGAAUCUUACGCAAGGGGGGAGAGCCUUACAGAGUAAAGCGGCGUGAGUUAUGAACGAGCUAGGAUCGGAAAGCUCUGUUAUUGGUUGAGAACAAAUGUGUAAGUAGCCAUGCAGUUAUUGACGGUACCGGGUCAGAAAGCCCCGGCUAACUACGUG
rnacentral:rRNA from 1 species